rnacentral:lncRNA from 10 species
CUGCCUUGUCCUGUCAGAAUGAAAGCUCCACAAAGGCAGGAGUUAAAGACUCACUGACUCUCCUCUGAAAGAACACUACAUAGCACAUCAUGGUAGGCUCUCAGUGACAAUAUAUCAAAUGAAUUGAUUGAGGGAUUAAAUGGGCUGGGGCUGUGGGUCAGAGAGGGUGCCCUGGAGACAUCCAGGCAGGAUUAGCUACAACAGCAGCCUGGGGGGUACAUCUGGUGGUGAGAGCAGCGCAGCAAAGCUGCAGGAAAGAGGAGAGCUCCGGGAGUGUGGGGAUGUGACCAGGUAACAGCACAGGUCCCAGAGGGAAGGCAGUGAGGCAAUUGGGCAGAAACUGGGGAAACUCAGGAUGAUUGUUGGGGCUGGGCUGGGAUUAGGGGGUGGAACUUGAGUGGAUGUCUUCCUACUCCCUCCCUCCCAGGAAAAGUCUCCCCUCUGCAUGGUUUUCCAGCUCAAUCCAGCCUGGCCUGCCACAGCCACCUGGUGCCCGGCCUUUUUUUUUUUUUUUUAGACAGUCUCCCUCUGUUGCCCAGGCUGGAGUGCAGUGGCAGAAUCUCAGCUCACUGCAACCUCCGGCUACCGGAUUCAAGUGAUUCUUGUGCCUCAGCCUCCCGAGUAGCCGGAAUUACAAGCACACGCACCACCACACCCGGCUAAUUUUUGUAUUUUUAGUAGAGACAGGGUUUUGUGAUGCUAGCCAGGCUGGUCUCCAACUUGUAACCUCAAAUGAUUCGCCCGCCUUGGCCUCCCAAAUUGUUGGGAUUACAGGUAUGAGCCACUGCGCCCGAGCCAGGCUUUUUAAUGGCACCCUGAAAUCUCAGAGCCCAUGACAGGAGGCCAAACUAGUACUUAGAAAGUGCUAGGGCAGGGGCUGAGCAGAAAUGGGGUUGGUGGGCUCCCUUUCAGCCCUUCAAGGCCUGACAGCCCCCUCAGACUGUGGAACAGCCCGCAGCUGGGUGAAUGUAAACACACACACACUUACUCUCUUUCUCUCUCUCUCUUUCUCUUUCUCUCUCCUUUACCUUGAGGGGAGGCAGAGGGAAAGGGAUAGAGACAGACAGAGACUGAAUGUAAGAGAGAGGCCAGAGAGACACAGAGAGAGAGAAGGAGAGAGAGGUGUGUGUGACAGAGACAGACGGAGACACAGGAGGGAGAAAGAGACAGAGAGAGAAACAGAGAAAGGGGAGAGAGAUCCUUACAUACAGAGAGGAAGAGAGAGACAAAAAGGGGAAGAAGGGUGAAAAUGAGAGUGAGAAAAAAGAGACAGAGGCACACACAGAAACCAGCAUGCCAGACAGAGAAGGGAGAGAAAUAGAGAGAGAGAGAGAGAGAGAGAGCAAGAGAGAGAAAAGGAGAGCAGGGAGAGGGAGAGGGCUAACGCCAGGAAAGAAAGAAAAAUAGAGACGGGGUGGGGUGGGGCAGAGAUAAGAGAGGGUAGCUGGAGAGAGAUAGAGAGAGAGACAGAAAUAAAGAUGGAGAUAGAGAGGGAGACACGGAGAGCCACGCUAAGACCGAGAAGGUGGAUAAUGCGUAGCCCUGAGUCUCAGUGAAAACAAAAGCUAAAGAUAAAACAAAACCCCCCACAUCCCCCCCAAACAAUAGCAGCAAACAAACACAACCCUGGGAAAGCUCGGGACAUUUUACAAACAAGUGAGGAGAGGGUUUUCCUCCGCAGACUGGCAGCUGCAGCCCGGGCCCAGCUGAGGCUCAAGACGCGUGCAAACACAGAACACACGCACACCUGCUCGAGCCCAGACACGUGCACACCCCAUCCCCCCAUAAACGGUCUACUGCUGUGGACACCCUCAGACAGCAACCCGCUCUUGCAUGAGGAACGCGUGCGCACGCAUGCAACACACAUACACACACACACUCACACAUACGCACACGCACUCACACACAUAUGCACACACGCACACGGAGGCAGAGGUACAUCUUGUACUCUGCCGUGUUCACACAGGUACACAGUGUACCCUCUCCGAGCGCCAGCGCUUCGUCCUCAACAAAGGCGUUACUGCCCUCUAGGGGACAUUUUGGAAAUUUGUGUAGGAGCAUUUUUGAUGGCCACAGUGCUGGGGUGUAGGGUGUCCUUCUGACAUUUAGGAGUCGGGGAGGAUGUUGGCCAUCCAGUAAUAUGGGGGAGAGUCCCACGCAGCCAACAUGUCCCGCAUCCUCUAGGACUUUGGACUUUUAAGUAAGUGAACUUAGAAUCUAUUUCACAGAUAAACACCAUUUUUUUUCUCUUGAUUUUAACAUACCCCGAAUUAUCCAGGAACGUGGCUGUCAUGUAAGUAAAGAGGAGGCUGCACUUUGGUUUGGGAUGAGCUUUCCUUAGAGUUGUUGACUAUUUUAGAAAAUCUCACCUCCAAGGCCUGUGCCUGUCAUUUUCCUGCACGUCCUGCCUCUGAUGUUUCCCCUUCUCCUAAAUCCAUAGUUACCCAGUAUAAGACAUUGGGAGCCUCUAAUCACUUCCUUGAAUCUCCUGGGGAGUGUCAUGCCCAAGCAUUUACAUAUUGAAAUACAAAUCGUUUUCUUAUAAAUCAUUUUUCUUUUAUUUCUUAUUUGUAUUAUAGUUAAUACAAAAUGGAUAUUGUAUAAAAUAUGGAUUUUCUUUUUAAAUUACAUGUGCAGAGGGCCAGGCGUGGUGGCUCACACCAGUAAUCCCAGCACUUUGGAAGACUGAGGCGGGUGGAUCGCCUGAGGUCAGGGGUUUGAGACCAGCCUGGCCAACAUGGUGAAACUCUGUCUCUACUAAAAAUACAAAAUUAGCUGGGCGUGGUGGCACGAACCUGUAAUCCCAGCUACUCGGGAGGCUGAGGCAGGAGAAUCACUUGAACCCAGAAGGUGGAGGUUGCAGUGAGCCGAGAUAGUGCCAUUGCACUCCAGCCUGGGUAACAAGAGUGAAACUCCAUCUCAAAAAAAAAUUACAUAUGCAGAGAGAUUAUAUUCC